CAGAAGCUGUUCCUCCUGGGCAAUGAAUUCCAGUUUGGUUUCUUCUCCGUUGGGAAAUAAGGGAAGGUGGCUCCAGACAGGCAGGGAGAGCCAGCUAAACUGACCCCUUAAGAUGGACCCAUCUCCUUGGGGAGUGUGUUGCAGACAGACGCAAAGAAGUCUUGCGACAGGUCAAAGCAGCAGCCUGCCAGGAAAACAGCUAUGACUUGGGAAUAGAGAAACUAUGCCCACAGAUGGGCUAAGAAUUGGCACGGCCACUUUAUAGAUGGGAAGAGAAUUCUGCUCCAGAAACAUUAAUGAUCUGAAUCAUUAAUUAGAUGCAUGAAGAAUACAGAAAAUUGGAGGGAAGUUGGAGCAAAUAAAGAAGCUGACACAACUGGAAAUUUUUGGGAAAAAAAGGUUUGUUGAACCCCAGCGGUGCCUCGGGACUUUGCACUGCGACAGGACCCGGUGGCAAGCUUGCAGCUCCUUCCCUUCUUCACUGCAUUGGUUUCUGUAGCUGUGCUGGGCACCGAGGGCUCCUGGGCACACAGUGGCAUGAACUGGAGGUUAGCUGAAAUCAGCCUUCAGCGGGACCACUCGUAGGAUGGUGAGCCGGCAUAGCUCAGGGCCGACUGCCGGCAAUUGUGUCUUGGAUGUGUGUCUUCGGCACUGUGCUGUCUGCAAGGGAGGAAAGCCGGUGAGUCAGGCCAUCUCUCCCCCUGAACGGGGAAUGCUCAAAGGCUUCUUCAUGGAGACCACUUAAAUCUGUGGUCUGCUGGAGUACCUGCAGAGCCGUGGGUGAGGUCCAGCUGGGGAAGUCCUCCCAUCUCAGGCAUCCAUCCCCUCUGGCUCUCAGGUGCCCACACAGAUGCUCCGUGCUGUGACCAUCCACUGGGGUGCAGGAUGUGCCUGUGAAGCGUGACUUGAAUUUUUGCUGCUCUGAAAAUGGAGAAUAAGCCACCAGUGUAAGCCAGGAGAAACAGGGAAGAUAGUGAUAUUUGAGCAGUCCCAAGGCUGUCCUGGUACAGAAGAGGAGUGCCUUGAAAUAACUUCUGCCAGCAUUGCAGAGCCUGGAGGCAUCUUGGAUCCUGUUUUGCAUGGCAAGGGACACCAAAAAAACGGAUGCCACGGAGGCUGCUGGAGGAAGAGCAUCUGGAGGGGAGGUGAUGAGUGGCCUGAGCUGCAGGACGGGUACUGGGGACCUGGGCUUUGCUGCACCCCUGCUGCGAGAAGGCUUUGAAGCCUCCUCCCUGCUCACUGCACAGGUAUAGCUCCUGCUAGCAUAUCCCAGGAGCAGCAAAAUGGCUCGUGCUUGUGUGGAAGUUGCUGGUUUGAAGAUUUAAGUGAAAGAGGACUGCAUUUUUCCUUGCUUUCCCAACCAGGAGAUUCAUGAGGUAGCCGGCAUUAACUGGGGGAACUGCUGUGUUCUUUUCCUUCCUCCCUUGCAACGUUGAUCCCCAGCACUGUGAGGAUUAGCAAGUGGCCAAAUGCAUCAGGAUGUGACCUUGCUCUGCCAUAAGAUCCCUCCUCACAGGCCUGGGCUGCCUUGGGUAGCAGGCAGCAUCCCCAUGGACCAGACAGUUUUAUAACGUCAAGAAGAAUGGAAAAGCUGCAAGGCAUGCACGUUCAAGAUGCUGUGCUCCUGGAAAGCUUUGGAUGGGCUCCAGGCAGUGUUUGGUGGCAAAGAAAGAUGAAGGUCUUGGAAAGAAAAAAAAAAAUCAGCCAAGCGCUCAUCCUGCAAUAUUCCUGUUCUUGUGAGCUGGGAAUGUCGUUGGAGCAUGGGAAAAAAAUGUGUUCCUGCAACGUCACGUGUCUGGGGGUGGUUACAAGGACAACGUUCUGGUUUUACACUACCACUGCUCUCCUGUUCAGCCCAGUGUGAGGUGGCCACCAGGCUCUCACAGGUGCCUCCUGAUGAGAGCAGGACUUGGAUGGAGAUAUUGACCACGCUUCACACUCCUUGUCUCCUGAAGGCCACAUUUGUCCCCCUCCCCCCUUCCUGGAGAGGAUACCAGAGUGGUGGAUACGGCGCCUACAUUUGAAGACGUGGUUCAGGCUGUGCCCUCUUCUCUCCAAGGUGUACCUUGAAGUUGGCUUUCAGCUCAGCGUGAUGUGAUCAGAGAUGACAUUGCAUUGUUCUUGGGACAGGAUUUGCCAUUUGCUCCAGUGUCUCCCAGCUGCCUGUGGGACUCCUUGGAAGGAAAGGCCGUGCUUCCUACCUUAUGGUAUGGACCUGUGAAUACCCGUGUACCUUGGUUUAAGAGUAAGCGCCUGCAGCUUACCCCUCUUCUAUGGCAGAGCUGUAUCCUGCAUGGCAGGAGCAUCGUGGACCAGGCGUCUGGGUUGCCUGGUUCCCUGCCAGGCACGCAUGAAAGAUUAGUUACUUGGUGCGCUGCUUGCAUUUGAUAUGUAGUAGGCUCAACAGUAAGGAAGACUUAGAUGUGCUUCAUCCAUCCUGGGCCAGCCCAAGCUGCAGCAGAGUAGUGUGCCAGAGCAAGGAGCGUGCUGGAGGGACUGAUGCUGCUUCUCAGCUCUUCAGGGGAUGGAGAAGCUUAAGAAAAGUGGAAGAAAAAAAUGUCAAAGUUGGACAGGAAAGGCAAAAUGGUAAUUAAUUCUGCAGAAGGAAAAACCCAAAUGUCUGACUGAGUCGUGUUACCCUGGAAGUGGCGGGCUGUGGGAGCUGGAAGCUGCUCGGGCUGUGUGCUUAGCAAGCACACCUGUAUUUCUCGAUGGGUCCUGCACAGGGAACAGUGUGAUUUGACCCAGAGGAGGUGACGAUGCUCAACUGGAGACCCAGAGCAAGGCUGCGGAGACGCAUGGGGGACCGAGGGUAGGGGCUGUGUUUUGACAAACAAAAGGAGCUUUGAUGGCGGCUCGCUAGGACCUGCCCUGUGCCACUGGCAGGAACCGAUGGUCCCAUCCACCUCGUGGCUUCGGCUUUCUGCCUUUCCCACCUCCAUCCAGACCUGCUGAGCUUAUUUCGGAGGCUUCUGAGCAGACCGGCGCACUCCCAAACGCCAUCUCUGAAAUGGCUUCCUUUGGCCAAGCGUGGAAUUAAAUUCAAUUAUUAUUUUUACUGUGAGUAUUUGAAGAGCACGGUGAAGGCAUUCAUGGUGUUUUCCCUCUAUUGCAAAUACAUCAGGAGCAACCCUGCAGCCUGCCUGGCUACCCGUCCUCUCCCCACGGGGUACGUGGGAUCUGGGUCUCCUUCCCUGCCGCAGAGCAGGGGCAAGCAAAGCCCGAGCAGACUUUUGCAGACGCAAUAGUCCUCAGACCUGGGGGGUUACGCUUCAUUCCUCAGCGGAGCCUGGCUGCCGGAAAUAAUCUGCCCGAUGGUCCACUUUAUGGCCGGGCAGACAGGUUGAAAUUCACAGCCACCACUUACCAAAGAAUAAUGAAACAUUUCCUGAGACAGCAAUAAAUAUCUCCUGCCAUGACAACACUUACCAGUGCCUCUUCGAUCCAGGAAAAUGUUUUAAAACUCAGCGAAGUGGGAUUUUUUUAAUGCCUCUCUACUUGCUGGUUGCAGUUGCCCUGGCUGCUCCUGGUCGGGGGUGGAGGGAGCAGCGUGAUAUGGUUUGUGGCUCCCUGGGGAGCUCCAGCUCUGGCCCAAAAGUGGGUGCUGGGGGGUAGGCUCCUUCCUGGACUGGACCUAUGGGCCAGGGAGCUAUGCACCAUCCUCCUCCUCCCAUCUGCGGCCUUCAUCAAAUGCCCCUGAUGCUGAUUAAAACAACAUGAGUGAGUAGCUUAUCGGUUACAAGGGAUCAAUAACCCCUGGCUUGUAUUCUUCGGUCUAAGAAAGUCUGAAUAAUGUGGGGCAGGGGGGGAUCCGAAUAGUCAUCACCGAUCGAUAGCUCUCCCCAUGUGAGCAUGUGGUGGGUCAGUGGGUGAGGGUCAUUUAUCAAUGCCACCCUCUCUCUCCCCGGCAUUGCCCCACGUCAUCCUCAAAGGCUGCAAUUAAUUCGUCCCUGUAACGCAGAGCAAAGCAGCGCCUGCUUGCUCACCUCCGCUCCUGCCCGUGCUGCCUCCAAGCAGCAUCACAUCAAAUUAGCGGCGCUUAAUGAAAAACAAACGAGCCGGACCGACGCAUGCACGUGCUUACGUGGCUGCCCGGGUGUCGAGGAAGCAAAGCUGCCUUUGAAAGAUGUCCUUGAGUCAGGAGGAUGACCGGGAGGAAAACUCCUUCUCCCCAGGCUGAUGGAAAAGGGAGAGGUUUGCAGCCACUGUACCCUACCAAGGGCCUUCGUUCUGGUCCAGAGCAGCUAUUUCCCACCGCGAGGAGAGGCUGACGGCAUGGUUCAUGCCAGGGUCUGCUGGAAAUAACGCUGCACGCUCAACACAGCUGGCUUGGCUGCUUUGGUCCAGGACGUUUUCCAGCAGUGGGGGUGCACAGCGUGGCUUCUUGGUGUCAGGCUGAUGCAGAUUGCAAAUAAAAGCCACCAACUAGCAAAAAUUAUCUCUGAGGGCCUCUGGGCUAUAACAUGAGGCUCAGGGGAGCCCAGCCAAAUGUGGUCGAGUCCUCUUUAGGCAGUGGCAGGGCUGACUAUAGUGGAUGCAAGCCAGUCUGCACUGGUUUCCUCAAAGGGCUGGGUUCCCUCCAGUCCACAAAGACAGAAUUGCCACGACCAGGAGAAAGCUCCAUCAGCACCCGCCAUGCCGGGGACUCAUCCUGCCUCUCCCAAUGCUGAGGAUAACCAGCCAGGAGCCAAAACACAGGGGCUAGACCCGAUGCCCCUGUGCACAGGGCAAGGGCAAAACCAGGAGGAGAUGGGGAUAUACCAGGCUGGUCAGGGUCAGCACAGGGCUGGGGGGGUUUUGCUACCUCUGAGCUGGGUGAGAGCCUAGGGAGGGCUGUCCUGAGAAGAAAUGCUCUUAGCAGCCCUGGCCACAGAGAGAAAAGGAGGUGUUUGGUAGCAGAAGAAAAGCUGAUGGGGGAAAAAGCAUGGGGAAGCGAUAGAUUUUUAAAAACCCAGCCAGUGAAUCAGUCUCAUUGCUGUGGUCACUUUAAAACGGAUCAGCAGAAAUAAAGUGAGUUUAAAUCUGUAGUGGCUUGGGGAAGCCUGAGCAGUAAAACGAAGCCAGCAG